rnacentral:rRNA from 1 species
AUGAACGCUGGCGGCGUGCCUCAUACAUGCCAGUCGAGCGAACAGACGAGGAGCUUGCUCCUCUGACGUUAGCGGCGGACGGGUGAGUAACACGUGGAUAACCUACCUAUAAGACUGGGAUAACUUCGGGAAACCGGAGCUAAUACCGGAUAACAUGUUGAACCGCAUGGUUCCACAGUGAAAGACGGUCUUGCUGUCACUUAUAGAUGGAUCCGCGCCGCAUUAGCUAGUUGGUAAGGUAACGGCUUACCAAGGCAACGAUGCGUAGCCGACCUGAGAGGGUGAUCGGCCACACUGGAACUGAGACACGGUCCAGACUCCUGCGGGAGGCAGCAGUAGGGAAUCUUCCGCAAUGGGCGAAAGCCUGACGGAGCAACGCCGCGUGAGUGAAGAAGGUCUUCGGAUCGUAAAACUCUGUUAUUAGGGAAGAACAAAUGUGUAAGUAACUAUGCACGUCUUGACGGUACCUAAUCAGAAAGCCACGGCUAACUACGUG